rnacentral:snoRNA from 1 species
AAGACUAUACUUUCAGGCAUCAUUUCUAUAGCUUGUUACUGGAGAAGUUUCUCUGAACAUGUGGAUCACCGGAAACCAUGAGGAGGAGGCACAGCGUUCUGAGUGUGAAGCCAGCUCUUGGCGUUGCUUCACUGCAACUGCUGUUCACCAUCGAUGAUCGUUCUUCUCUUCCUUCGGGAGAGUAAGAGGGAGAGAAUGCAGUCUGAGUGGA